AACAAGUCUAGUACAUUGACUAAAUGUAAACUCGAGUUUCGAGGGGUUGUUGACGUAGGUAAUUUGGACAAGAAAACACAGCAAAACAGAAGAGCAAAAAAAGCAGCACGGCAACAACCGUCAGCAGUGUCGGUAUUUCAUUUGAAUUACAAAUCACAUUUAGCGCUGACAGGUAAGGAGAUGGAAUACCUGCAGUGCGGGACCGGACAAGGUGUAACUUCAUGCAGGCAGGCGGUCCACAACCUGGUCAACAGAUUCACAGCUAUGCAAACAAAGCUGCUCCUGCAAGUGACUGCCAAUUUUUGUUAUGGCUGUGUAUUCGACUUGGAUAAAUAAAUAAAUACAUAUGGAUGGUUCGAAAUGGUGUGAGUUGCGAACUGAUGUUACAAUAAUGAGCCCAGCCCCAAAUGCGAGUUGAGACCAGCAAAAACAGUUGACGUCAAUAAAAAACUCCGGAAAAAGUAAACAAAA